GCUGGGCCUGGUGGCACCUGCUUGUAAUCCCACCUAUGCAGGAGGCUGAGGCAGGAGGAUUUCUUAAGCUUUGGAGUUCGGAGCCAGCCAAUGCAACAUAAUGUAAUCCUGCCUCUA
rnacentral:sRNA from 1 species